rnacentral:rRNA from 1 species
GUGGCAUUGCGGCAGCUAACACAUGCAGUCGGACGGUAGCACAGAGAGAGCUUGCUCCUCGGGUGACGAGUGGCGGACGGGUGAGUAAUGUCUGGGAAACUGCCCGAUGGAGGGGGAUAACUACUGGAAACGGUAGCUAAUACCGCAUAACGUCGCAAGACCAAAGUGGGGGACCUUCGGGCCUCACACCAUCGGAUGUGCCCAGAUGGGAUUAGCUUGUAGGCGGGGUAACGGCCCACCUAGGCGACGAUCCCUAGCUGGUCUGAGAGGAUGACCAGCCACACUGGAACUGAGACACGGUCCAGACUCCUACGGGAGGCAGCAGUGGGGAAUAUUGCACAAUGGGCGCAAGCCUGAUGCAGCCAUGCCGCGUGUAUGAAGAAGGCCUUCGGGUUGUAAAGUACUUUCAGCGGGGAGGAAGGUGUUGAGGUUAAUAACCUCAGCAAUUGACGUUACCCGCAGAAGAAGCACCGGCUAACUCCGUGCCAGCAGCCGCGGUAAUACGGAGGGUGCAAGCGUUAAUCGGAAUUACUGGGCGUAAAGCGCACGCAGGCGGUCUGUUAAGUCAGAUGUGAAAUCCCCGGGCUUAACCUGGGGAACUGCAUUUGAAACUGGCAAGCUUGAGUCUCGUAAAGGGGGGUAGAAUUCCAGGGGGAGCAGUUGAAAUGCUUAAAAAUCUUGUAAGAAUUGCCGGUGGGGA